CCGGAAGUGGCCGAGUGCGGUGGCUCUUCCACAGCAGCCAGAGGGCGCCUGUGAGGCUGACUGGGGGUGUCCCUGCUCUGCCCACAGCCCUCCAUGGCUCCCAUUUCCCUCUGGGUAGAAGCCCAAGUCCUCCGUGCAGCCCACAAGGCUCUGCCCAGUCCCCUCUCUCCUCUCCCUCCUCUGUCUACUCUCCCUCCUCCCUGUCUCCCCCUCCUCCUCUGCCCAGUCCCCUCUCUCCUCUCCCUCCUCCCUCUCUCCUCUCCCUCCUCCCUC
rnacentral:lncRNA from 1 species